UUUGCCAUAAUUCGAAGAAAUUUUAGGCUUCUUGAGCAAUCCAUUUACACAACAAAAAACGAAUUUACAAACUGCAAAUUCAUACAUACGCGGCACGGUCAGCAUCUUCGGGAACUGCGUACUAAACAGUUGCUCGGUCGGGUACCUCAAUGGCAACCGGUCAAAUGGCAGUGAACGGUAGAAAAGUAAAUUAAGCGAAGGAUCUUCUUUGGCAGAAAUCGAAGACGCUUGAGGACUCCAACUCUUCGAGAUAUGAUUGAGCACAAAGAGGAAAUGUGAUCAUCCCAACUCAGGAAUUGAUCAAGAGUCAAGCCGAGACACUUUACAGAAGGAAAGGCUCU